CCGAACACUUGUUUUAGAGGAUUAAACCUUUGAAGAGAGGUUAGUAACUUGGUUGAUUCCUAGAGGUUGAAGCAGUCAAAAAUAAGGAGAAUCCUCAUUUGUUGAUAGGUUGAACUGCAAUAGUGAAAUCUAACCAAACUUGAGCGAUGUAAGAAAUUAGCAUAAAAAAAUCAACUUUAGAAUACACCUUGAAAAGAGAAAAGAAAACAAGUUUGGGGGUGUGUGAAUCCCACGAGCGAGGUAAGGAAAUAUUUGACUUUUAAGGUCAGAAAUUGGGUCAAUUUAUUAUUGUACAGCGUUAUGCUUAACUCUCCACACACACACUCGUUUGCAUUGAAUGAGCGAGGAUUUGACGCAUGCAUUAUAGUUUUGAAGUACUUCAUGAAUUUGACGCUGUGUUUUUAAUCU
rnacentral:lncRNA from 1 species